rnacentral:lncRNA from 1 species
UGAUGGAGUAAAUGAUAAUGAUGGUGAGAAUGCAGUGUUAAUAAAAUUUGGUUCUCAUUGCUCCUCAUAUUGCUAUCUCUCCUCUUCUUUAAUCUUUGCUUUGGGAGAACAUGGGCUAUCUUUUUUCUCUUCUUCUUCUUUUUUUCAGGUGGGUAGUAGAUACCGCUAAUUCUACUGUCGGACACUUGUCCAUUUUUUUCCUCUCGAGUGGGCAUUUUUGUACCCCUAAUUCUACUUCGGACACUUGUCCAUUUUUACCUCUCGUCUCACUCUUUUUCUUUCUUUUUCGAGGUUCCCGGGCACUUGCCCCUUUUUAUUUCCUCGUAUAUAUUUUUGCAUAACCCAUGCCUCUUCUGCAUUGAAUCUUUUUAGAGAGAGAGAAUAACAAUAUUCGGGACAGUGAGUGAUAAUAUUUUUAGCAAUUUUAAUGAUUGAUGAUGAAUGCUGUGGUAGAUGUGUGCAAGUGAAUAUCUUAAUUUAACCACAUGAAAAGCUCCUAAGGGUCUACACAGCUCGAUCAAACUCAAUGUGAAUAUAGUAAAAGAUGUUAUAGCAAGUAUGGCUGUGGUAGGUGGUUUGCAAUGCUAGGAACUCAUCAUGUGAUUUGUAAGUUUUCAAAAUAAAUCUCCAGAACUUAGUGUAGUAGGAACAAGAUAAACAGUAGCUCAACUUUAUAUCAUGCCUUUCUCUUACCUAGACUUUAGUUUUAUGCUUCCCAAAGAUAGUAAUUUUAGUUUUAGUAAUUCCUGGAAGAAUUCUAAUAUAAAAGCUAGGUACUUGUAAGUAAGCAAGCAGAGCAACUGUUCAUCAUUUCCAUCAUGCAUCUUUUUAGUCUUUUUAUUUUUUUUAGAGAUUAAACUUAGCAGAAAAAUAAAGCACACUUAUCUACACACUCUUUUUAUUUUGUUUUCAUGUUUAUUAAGUGCAGUAGAUUAAAGCAAGAAAAUAUUUAUUUGGUUUUCUAAGUUUUCCUUUUAAUUUAAAUUAAAUACUAGAAUAGAAAAGAAUAAAUAAGAAGAGCAAAUAAAAACUUACUUGAUAAAUUAGGGAGGAACUCCCCCAAGCUGGAUGUUGACGUCGGUCUUACCCGAUGUUCCAGAACCGCAUCAUGGUUGUGAUGUUGUCGUUCAUUGUUGUUGUAUCUUGUCUCAGCUCUUGUACUGCUGCGGCAUGGUCCUGGUUCCAUUUUUGUUGUUCUUCCAGGAGUCUUCCAUGUUCUGCUUGCGUGUUCUGGAUGUCGAGGAGGGUGUUGUCGGUACGAGUGAAGAAAGCACCGGCCUCUUGAUAGUAGUCAUUCGUGAAAGCGUAGGAGGCGUCGGAGUAUCGUCCUGCAUCAAAUUGUGGU